ACGAACGCUGGCGGCGUGCUUAACACAUGCAAGUCUUACGAGAAAGGGGUAGCAAUAUCCCGAGUAAAGUGGCGCACGGGUGAGUAACACGUAGGCAAUCUGCCUUUAGGACGGGGAUAAUCCAGCGAAAGUUGGACUAAUACCCGAUGAUGCAGCGGCACCGCAUGGUGACAGUUGUUAAAUCCCGUAAGGGGCCUAUUGACGAGCCUGCGUCUGAUUAGCUAGUUGGUGAGGUAACGGCCCACCAAGGCUACGAUCAGUAGCUGGUCUGAGAGGAUGAUCAGCCACACUGGAACUGAGACACGGUCCAGACUCCUACGGGAGGCAGCAGUGAGGAAUAUUGCGCAAUGGCCGAAAGGCUGACGCAGCGACGCCGCGUGAAGGAUGAAGUCCGUUAGGAUGUAAACUUCUUUUGCAGGGGAUGAAUGUUCCGGUUUCCGGAAUUGACCGUACCCUGCGAAUAAGGAUCGGCUAACUACGU
rnacentral:rRNA from 1 species